rnacentral:rRNA from 1 species
UACGUAGGGGGCAAGCGUUGUCCGGAAUCAUUGGGCGUAAAGCGCGCGUAGGCGGCCCGGUAAGUCCGCUGUGAAAGUCAAAGGCUCAACCUUUGAAUGCCGGUGGAUACUGUCGGGCUAGAGUCCGGAAGAGGCGAGUGGAAUUCCUGGUGUAGCGGUGAAAUGCGCAGAUAUCAGGAGGAACACCUAUUGCGAAGGCAGCUCGCUGGGACGUUACUGACGCUGAGACGCGAAAGCGUGGGGAGCAAACAGG